ensembl:snRNA U6 U6 spliceosomal RNA
GCGCUCACUUUGGCAGCACAUAUACUAAAAUUGGAACGAUAUAGAGAUGAGCAUGGCCCUGUGCAAGGGUGACAUGCAAAUUCGUGAAGCUUCCACAUUUUUU